UAGUACUGAUAUUUUGUAUCUAAACCAUUUGUACUAAUUGAUAGUCACGAUCAUUCAGCAAGCAGUAAAUCAUAAAUAAAAAUCACAGGGGAAAACACUAUGAAAUAUAAUAGGCACAAUAUGAGGAAGCAAAAGCAUUAGUUACACUACUGAUAUUCCCUUUCCUCAUUGAUAUUGUAUCAGUCAAGCGAAUACUCCACUUGGUAAAAAAAUUGAAACCCAGAACAUAACACAGGAUGACGUAAUGCAACAUCUGUCCAAGCCAAUGAAAAACAAGCUGCAUUUAUUUCUUAGAGGCUCAUUAUAGUAUUUUAAUUCUCAUGGAGAGAUACUAUGCCAAUUCAUUUGUAAGGACUUACGCAUGAAUGUCUAGUCACACAAUGGUUAUAUGCUAGGAAGAUCUUGAAUACUUAUAUAGGUCCAAGGCCCAAAUAAUAACUUUUGGCAAGCUAUUUUUAAAUGGAAUCUUGAGCCAUUACAAAUGGUAUUAGAGCAGAUCCGGCCCAGGACCUAUGUGUGACUAGUGGAUACUACAGCAUGAGUCAUUUUAGAGUUGACCACCGGCAAAUUUUAGUAUUUUUUAUUGGAUUUGGACUCUUAGUUUGGCAAGAAUGCUAGGGCUUAAACAUAAAAAAUAUGUGAGGAUAUGCAUGUGUGUAUUUAGUUCUAUAUCAAUUGUGGGCUGGAAAGAUCUUGAAUACUUAUACAGGGCCAGCGAAUCUAAAUAAUAACUUCUAGCUAGCUAUUUUUGGUAAUGCCCAGGGUCGUUAUAUCAGCCACUACAAUUUUAAAUUAAGAUUAAAGUAGAGGUUUGCCUCAUUUUGAAUUACCACCUCGUUUUAAAUUGCAAUCCUAUUUUAAAUAUCUCCAUAGCAUUCAUGUUUAGGUUGCCAUUUUUCAUAAGAUUUUGCUCACUGUAUUUCCCCAUUGUUUUGUGCAGUUCAAAUUUUGACAUAGCAUCGAUCAGCAUAAAGUGUCUUGUCAUGCGACAAUGGUGAAGACAUGGAGAUAGAGUAAAUGCAAGGUGCAUGGCUAAAAAAGGAAAUUAUCAAGACUUGUAGACAAGGUGCACAAAGGAGAAAGUUCAAUAUAAUAUACACCAACCUCUGUAGCAUCGCUCCACAACUACCACAUCAGAUGAUGAUAGAAUGAGACUGGUUGAUCAAAAUAAUUCAGAACUUAAUCUGGGUUUAAGCCUUAAGGUUGAUGUACCUCUAAAAUGGUUCAAUAAGGGUUAAAGUAUAUAUCGUAAUUUUCACUG
rnacentral:lncRNA from 1 species